UCUUGGAAAAGACUCUUGGGACUAGCAGUGGAAUCCUUGCUAUUGAUUGGCUGGUUAAAUAGAGGACUAUUAGCUUCAGACAGGCUAGAUUGAUUGUAAGGCAGCAGCAGGAGCUGAGACUCAGAGCUGAGUGAGCGUCAGGGUGAAAAGGAGAGAGAGAGGGGAACGCGAGGUGGAGAGGGAGGCAGUGCACGUUCGUUCCCUAGCAUCGCUCUGUGACUGCCGGUGCUGAAUAUCUUGCUCCGUAGCUGCCCCAGUCAACAACUUACUGAGGUGCCUUUUCUUUUACAAGAGGAUGUCUGCUUUGAGCCCCAGCAAGAAAUAGCAGACUUCACCUUGGAAUAGUUCGUCUCACUCCUGCGUCAUUAAAGAGGAUCUUGAAAAGGAAACAAAAAUCAAGUCUCCCUUCCAGCCCCACUUUGUUCCAGAAUUGAACAGAAACAGUUUUGUGCUCCAGAACCCAUUCACAGCAGUUUAUAAGAAGAAAAUAUAACACCAAACAUUCUUAAAGUGAAGCAUAAGGAUUCCUAGUCUCGUGAUCUACACCAGGACUUGCCAAGUGUCCUGAGGAGAAAAGCAGCUCACCUUUUACUGGCUCACUUAUCUGCUUCUCAAUUCCUGAUUACCCAAGCAACUCUCAGAUAGUUUCAAUCAAUCUGUUUCUGCUGAUGGAAUACUGGAAAUGUAAUUAAAUGUUUAGUUUAAUUACAAUGGAAAAUAAAGGCUUAUUCUCAGAAAUUCAGUGCAGCCCAAAGAAUAGCAAACGUGAGUGAUGAUGUUUCUCAAAAGCAGCCCCCCGGUACACAGUUGUAUAUUCUUCGUUGUGGGUCCUUCUAGUUGUGGCACGUGGGAUGCUGUCUCAGCGUGGUUUGAUGAGCAGUGCCAUGUCUCCGCCCAGGAUUUGAACCAACGAAACACUGGGCCGCCUGCAGAGGAGCGCGUGAACUUAACCACUCGGCCACGGGGCCAGCCCCCCAAUGUUAAUUUUUAAUCAAUAUUUGAGUUGUUGUUAUUUUAGAAAUUAUAGAUAUUCUCAUGGUUAAAAAUACCAACAGCUCAAAAUGUUUAAGAAAAGUUCUUCCUCCUAGCACCAUCCCCCAGAGGAAUUCCUAUUUUUAAUUCUACUGGUAGACAAUAUAAUUAUUUCUUAUACUCACAACUUAAAAAAAAAUCCAUUUAUGUGUCAACUCCCUACCAUUAAAAGAUAAGGAAUUUAAUACACUUAAACCAUCUAUUUCCUUCCAGCCCCUUCCGCUUACUGCCUUUAUUUCUUUUAGUCUAUGCUUCUAUGUCUUAAAAAAUUUAAAUUUCUCCUUUUUCACUUCCCAAUUCUAGUUGCUGUCUAUUGAUGCCUUGUCCUUUAUAAAGAUGAAGAAAUGUAUAUACUUACCCCCCUCCACCUUGCCUCUCCAAUUUUGUUAGUCAUGUUAUUAUUUUGUGUGUAUAAGUUCUUUGGUUUUACAUUGAUUUAGCAUCUAAUUAUUUUCCCAUGCUUUCUGAGUUUAUUAAAAUGACAAAUCAAUAAACAGUUCCAGUCCAUUUGUGAAAUCCUAUGUCUUUGAAAUUGUUGCUCAAAGAAAAAUCUUUCAAGUGUCAAGGUCUAAUGGUCAUUUUUCAAGCUUGUCUAAUCAUAAGAAUAAAUUAAUAGGAAGCUUUUAAAUAUUCAGAUUCCAGGCAUCUACACUAAGGAAUCUGAUUUGACUGGUCCAGGGAGGCUAAGAUUAGUCUUAUAAUCAGAAAAGAUGAACUUAAUGAUUCCUUUGUCUUUUGUCUGGAUCUGUUCUGUGACCAGUAUUUCUUGCUUUCUUUCGUCACUGUCUUUCUUUUAUUUA
ensembl:lncRNA